GAAAUCUAUGUGACUCUUCAAGAAAUACACUACUUUUAAAGUAAGAAAAUUCUAAAUCCACCAGAAGUCCAGAGUUGAGUUCCUAAGACAUAUGCCACAACUAAUACAUGACAAGAUAAAUGUCCACAUUGGCUGCUUCAUGCUACAGUGAAAGCCUUGAGCCCCAUUCAAGGCUCCUGAGCAGGUUUCUAUUCAACGGCAAGGGAUUUUUCCAGUCUCCUCAAAGGCUCGGGGGUGAGGUCCUGAUGUGAAGCCCCAACCCAGCCAUAUGGAUUUCUUCCUCCUUCACCUAGAUUUGCUGAAGGCAGAGGAAACAGUUUUAACUACCUGCCACUGAAAGCAAAUGAGAUAUUUUCCUUUUAAUUAAAAAUUACAAUGAUUUGGAUAGUAAAUUUAAUGUUAUUUCUUCUUACCAUCAUAAAAAAAAGUCAUGCAAAAGUACACCAGCUACAACAGAACUCCCACAUGUACCUCUAAAGAAAUAAUAAGGAGCCAUAAAUUUUUUAAACAGCCUGUUAGCAUCUGGCUAACAUGAAGGCAUCGGCCUUUGUGAGCCUGGUAUCCAACUCGCAGAAAAGAGACCCUAGAAAAGGAUCGAAUCCCUGGCAUUCUGAUAGGCAUUCAUAUUUAGCCGUUCACCCCACAAACAUGUAUUGGGCACCAGGCAUGACAAGUACCAUUCUAAAUGACAG